rnacentral:rRNA from 1 species
GUUGGGGGGUGUCCCCUCUUUAAAGGAUAAUGCGGUUUUUGGAAAGUUUCAAUACUUUUAGUUAACAUUAUCAA